GGCGAACGCUGGCGGCGUGCUUAACACAUGCAAGUCGUACGGUAAGGCCCUUUCGGGGGUACACGAGUGGCGAACGGGUGAGUAACACGUGAGUAACCUGCCCACAACUUUUGGAUAACGCUAGGAAACUGGUGCUAAUACUGGAUAUGUGCUCCUGCUGCAUGGUGGGGGUUGGAAAGCUCCGGCGGUUGUGGAUGGACUCGCGGCCUAUCAGCUUGUUGGGGGGGUAGUGGCCUACCAAGGCGGCGACGGGUAGCCGGCCUGAGAGGGUGACCGGCCACAUUGGGACUGAGAUACGGCCCAGACUCCUACGGGAGGCAGCAGUGGGGAAGAUUGCACAAUGGGCGCAAGCCUGAUGCAGCAACGCCGCGUGCGGGAGGACGGCCUUCGGGUUGUAAACCGCUUUCAGCAGGGACGAAGCUUUUUGUGACGGUACCUGCAGAAGAAGCACCGGCUAACUACGUG
rnacentral:rRNA from 1 species